rnacentral:hammerhead_ribozyme from 1 species
AUCUAGCUGAAGAGUCCCAAAUAGGACGAAAUGCGCAUCCUGGAU